rnacentral:rRNA from 1 species
GACGAACGCUGGCGGCGUGCUUAACACAUGCAAGUCGAACGGAAAGGCCCUGCUUUUGUGGGGUGCUCGAGUGGCGAACGGGUGAGUAACACGUGAGUAACCUGCCUUUGACUUUGGGAUAACUUCAGGAAACUGGGGCUAAUACCGGAUAGGAGCUCCUGCUGCAUGGUGGGGGUUGGAAAGUUUCGGCGGUUGGGGAUGGACUCGCGGCUUAUCAGCUUGUUGGUGGGGUAGUGGCUUACCAAGGCUUUGACGGGUAGCCGGCCUGAGAGGGUGACCGGCCACAUUGGGACUGAGAUACGGCCCAGACUCCUACGGGAGGCAGCAGUGGGGAAUAUUGCACAAUGGGCGGAAGCCUGAUGCAGCAACGCCGCGUGCGGGAUGACGGCCUUCGGGUUGUAAACCGCUUUCGCCUGUGACGAAGCGUGAGUGACGGUAAUGGGUAAAGAAGCACCGGCCAACUACGUG